rnacentral:rRNA from 1 species
GGGGGAUAUUGCGCAAUGGGGGCAACCCUGACGCAGCAACGCCGCGUGAAGGAUGAAGGUUUUCGGAUUGUAAACUUCUUUUAUUAAGGACGAAAAAUGACGGUACUUAAUGAAUAAGCUCCGGCUAACUACGUGCCAGCAGCCGCGGUAAUACGUAGGGAGCAAGCGUUGUCCGGAUUUACUGGGUGUAAAGGGUGCGUAGGCGGCUUUGCAAGUCAGAUGUGAAAUCUAUGGGCUCAACCCAUAAACUGCAUUUGAAACUGUAGAGCUUGAGUGAAGUAGAGGCAGGCGGAAUUCCCCGUGUAGCGGUGAAAUGCGUAGAGAUGGGGAGGAACACCAGUGGCGAAGGCGGCCUGCUGGGCUUUAACUGACGCUGAGGCACGAAAGCGUGGGUAGCAAACAGGAUUAGAUACCCUGGUAGUCCACGCUGUAAACGAUGAUUACUAGGUGUGGGGGGUCUGACCCCUUCCGUGCCGGAGUUAACACAAUAAGUAAUCCACCUGGGGAGUACGGCCGCAAGGUUGAAACUCAAAGGAAUUGACGGGGGCCCGCACAAGCAGUGGAGUAUGUGGUUUAAUUCGAAGCAACGCGAAGAACCUUACCAGGUCUUGACAUCCAACUAACGAAGUAGAGAUACAUUAGGUGCCCUUCGGGGAAAGUUGAGACAGGUGGUGCAUGGUUGUCGUCAGCUCGUGUCGUGAGAUGUUGGGUUAAGUCCCGCAACGAGCGCAACCCUUGCUACUAGUUGCUACGCAAGAGCACUCUAAUAGGACUGCCGUUGACAAAACGGAGGAAGGUGGGGACGACGUCAAAUCAUCAUGCCCCUUAUGACCUGGGCUACACACGUACUACAAUGGAUGUUAACAGAGGGAAGCAAGACAGCGAUGUGGAGCAAACCCCUAAAAACAUUCUCAGUUCAGAUUGCAGGCUGCAACCCGCCUGCAUGAAGAUGGAAUUGCUAGUAAUCGCGGAUCAGCAUGCCGCGGUGAAUACGUUCCCG